UAUCCAACACCAUUUUGGUGUUGGAUGCGUCCAAAACCAUUUUGGUUUUGGAUGAAUCCAACACCAUUUUGGUUUUGGAUGCAUCCAACACCAUUUUGGUCUUGGAAGUAUCCAACACCAUUUUGGUCUUGGAUG